rnacentral:misc_RNA from 1 species
GAUGAAGAACGUAGCGAAAUGCGAUAAGUAAUGUGAAAUGCAGAAUUCAGUGAAUCAUCGAAUCUUUGAACGCACAUUGCGCCCGCCAGUAUUCUGGCGGGCAUGCCUGUCUGAGCGUCAUUUCAACCCUCAUGCCCCUAGGGCGUGGUGUUGGGGAUCGGCCAAAGCCCGCGAGGGACGGCCGGCCCCUAAAUCUAGUGGCGGACCCGUCGUGGCCUCCUCUGCGAAGUAGUGAUAUUCCGCAUCGGAGAGCGACGAGCCCCUGCCGUUAAACCCCCAACUUUCCAAGGUUGACCUCAGAUCAGGUAGGAAUACCCGCUGAACUUAAGCAUAUCAAUAAGCGGAGGA